ACAACAACGAUUCUAGUGGGUUUGUAAAUUUAGAGACAUUCACAAAAUUUUCAAUUCUUUCCUAAACAUGUAAUUUCAUUUGAAUCCCUUCAAUUUCGUGGGUCCAACAUCAAAGGGCUCCAUAAUUCUGAAAUCCAUAAAUCAAUCAAUAAAUUUUUGAAUUAAAAAAAAUACCUGAGUGAGCUUUAUCUUCUUGAUUCACUUCUUCAAUUUCAAUACUUUCAUCCAAACAUUCUUCAAUUUAUGUGAGUUAAAUCUUUUUUUUUUUUUUGGUGUGUGACAAUGGCUUGCAGAUAAUUAUUGAGGGAGAGGGUGUGUUGUUGAAGUUGGAUGACAGUAUAUGGGAUGAACAAUGUACCGCCGGUUAGGGAAUAGAGGAUACUGAAGGAAGUUCAAGGGGUCGUAAUUUUUCACCCGAGGAUAUAGCUUUAUGUCGAGUUUAUAUUGCAAUUAGUGAAGAUCCACUUAUUGGAAAAAAUCACUCAACGAGGACAAUGUCAAAUUGAAUCUAAGAUAAAUUUUAUGAGGUCGUUCUUGUUGGAGGUGAAAAGAGAAUAUCAAAAAGUCUUAAAUCUCACUAGACGAAAAUCAGUCAAAGUGGUACAAGAUUUGCUGAAUGUUUUGCUCAAAUAAAUUUGAGGCCAAGAAGCGGAGCAAGUUCAAUCGACAAUAUGGAUGAUGCAAGACUCUUAUACGUUAGCACUGAGCAAAAAAAAAUCAACUUGGAUCAUUGUUGGACAAUUUUACAAGAUAGUAAAGAAUGGAGGUGUAUCAUUGAAGUUCAGUUCUCACAAAGUGCAAAUAAGAGUUCAAGUUCACGUCUUUUUUCUAGCCCGAGUGAAGAUGGAGGGGAUUCGAUGCCCGAGACACAAAAUGUAGCACAAUCACCAAACACCAAUGUAAGACUGAUGGGGCACAAGAUGGCUAGAAAGCAAAAGGACAAAUACAUUGUAAAUGAUACCAUGAGACAAGCUCAUUCAAUGGCAAAAGUAAUGAGGGAUUACCAAUAAAAAUUUGAGAUUAAAACAGAUUUCAAAAUUAUGAUGACGAGCAGGUCAUCAGUUUAAACUCCAGAGAGGAAAGCAUGGUUGAUUGAACAACAAAAGGCAAUUAUUUCAAAAAGGUCAUCUCAUUCAUUGAAUUUUGACGAUGAUGCUUAUCACCCCGAAAUGCCACCAUUAGAUUAAGUAUCUUGAUAUUAUUUUAAUAAUUUAUUUUUCUUGUUAUCGUUGAUUAUCUUAAAUGUCGUUAUUUUCAAUUGGUACUGAAUUUCUAGUAAUGUAGUUAUUAAUAUUGAUGGUAAAUUUUGUAUAUAUAAUUUAAAAUAUUGAGUUUAUAAACAAUCAAAACAAAUUAAUAUGAUUGACCCAAAUAUCACUUAAAAUUCAAGGAACAAAACAAAGCAAUAAAUAACCAUCUUAUAAUAUGAUUACAACGAUAAAAUUUAAACAUUCAAGUUUCCAUCUCGUUACUCUUUCCAGACAUGCUCGACAAGGUCAUCUAAGAGCAUAAAAUAGUGAGUUGUAUCUCUGCCUGACACGGUUGCUUAAAUAUUAUGCAAUGGUUACCGGGUCUCGACUAAGCGCAACAGGUUGCUGCACUGCCAUGUACAUUGAUGGGUCCUCGACAAAAUCGUCACCUUCUUGAUUGCAUUUGUCUUACACGAUCAUAUUAUGAAGAAUUAUACAACAUUUCAUAACAUCACCAAUUUGGGCAUUAUGCCAUAAUCGAUAAGGUCCUGUUAUGAACUCAAAUCGAGAUUGAAGAAUGCUAAAUGUUUUUUCAACAUCCUUUUGAUAUGCCUCUUGCAACCUCGUAAAUAUUUUUUUAUCACAUUGUUGGGUACACGUUGAACUCAAUAAUUAUUACAGACCAAAUAAUAAUUAUUCAAUAGCAAAUAAAUACCUAUGAGAAUGGGGUUUAGGGAAUACAGAUUUUCUAAUGAAUUAAGAGACAAUAUCAGAAAUAAAAAUUACAAAAUAUUAUAACUAAUAUUAAAUCUAACCGGACUGAUU